GUCAUGUUGGUACAAAACACUUUGGUGGUGUUGUAAGUAAACAAAGGCAAUGGAGAAUCUUGGCACUGCAUGUAAAACAAUGGCCACUUGCCAGACUUGUCGUUGCGGUGAAAAAUUUCCAAUAGCGGCGGAGAUGGACGGUAAAAUAUUAAAUACUUGACAAUGGGUGUAUGUUGCAUUUUCAAAAUGAAACACCACGGAAUAGACGAUACAGAAUAAAAACGCGAACAAAGGUUAUAACAGCUGUUUGGUUUGUUGAUUGUUGAUGAGCAUUCAUACUAGUCACGAAGAGUGACGAAUACAAACGAACAGAGGAAUCAUGCGCUGGCUGGGUCUGGUCCCUAGUGUUGACCACGUGUUGACGUUGCCAGCUGUGGUUGACAGCGCGGGGGCAACACCAUUGCAAAACAUCACCACAGUAGACAUCACUUCGUACUUCGAAAUAUUUGGAAUAAUCUCAAUGUGAGUACCUUUUACUUUAAAAUAACCUGGAGGAAAUGGAAACCCUUGAAUGGAUCUAGUAAAGUCGGGACCAUUAGUAUAAAACCACUCCCUAGUGUAAGUUUUCAAAAUUUGUUGAGUGUAAGUUGAAUUAAUGGGUUUUGGUGAGAUUUUUGGGGGAAAUCUUCUGUUAGGUUAUGAUGCUGUCAAUAAUUUGUCAAAUAGGGACUUGUAAAACAGCAAAAUGAUAAAGAGUAUCCAAAUAUCUGUUGAUCAGCACAGGUGGUUACCACUUACGCAGAUACAAAAUUACCGAAGACUUCUGUAUAAAAACAAGUCAAAAAGUUGAAUAAAUUAACGUAUGUAAGUAUGCCAAGAACUUUGAGAAACAUAUCCAAAUCCAAUUUCUACGAUAUUCAUGUUGAGUUAGCAGUGACUGGAAAAUACUUGUAGGUAAAUUAUAGGCCAAGGUAGUGAAGUAAACAGUAUAUAUGUCUCUUAUCUAUGCUGAAGAUAAUCAUUAGAUAGACUGAACGCAGAUUAGAGCACGAGACGUGAAGCGUCAAGGAUUAUUGUAAGCGUGAGGUCUAUAUAUCUUCACUACCGUGGCGUAGGUAUAUGCUAUUUUUUUUCACUAGUAGCGCACUACAAAACACAUUUGAAAAAUUUUCGAUUUAUUAAAAGGAACAUAACAUCACUAACAUCACCUAACUAGGUUUUGAUGUUUUCCGUCAUUAUUUUUCGACGUUUGAAAAGUUUUGGUUUCAUGUUGGAAAUAUAUCAAGCUGUGAACUAUGUACCCCUCUAGAGAUACUGUUCCUCGUGAAAAUGAUUUAAAAAAUCUGACCGUUAAAAUAGAAUGGUUAUUGACCCUCGGUGAACAUUAACUUCACUUCCAUUAGCCAAAUUUAAUUACCAUUAUGGAGAAAAAUGAAUUUAUUACUCACAGACAAAGCAUGAUAGUGGUGCAUCUCUACGCUACUAGUGAAAAAAAUUAAUUAUACGCUUGUAGGUGCGUAGGUAUUUCGAUUCAGGUCAGACAACAAACAAUACUCAAUUCCCACCAUAUAUCAAAUAAAGGAAAUUAUCUUGUAUGUAUAUCCUGCCACGCUGACUGUUUAAAUUUAAGAUGGUUUUCUUUACUUGAUGAAAAAAGUGUUCGAGUGACAAAACGUGGCAAACCAAUUUUUCUGUACUUUUUGUACUUAUGGAUUUUCCAAAUGUCUCUCAAAAGUUUGAAUCCUUCGAAAAAGAGCAUUAAAAAUGCUUGCAGUUAAAUAUUUAUUUGCAAACACAACUGCUAAAUUUGUUUACAAUUACUAAAAAAUGUUUCGACUUCAAAUAGGACAGCUACAUGGAAAAGAAGACAGUGAAACUCAUACAUAGAAAAAUGCCCCAUGGAAACUAAAAUUCAAAAUUUGUAGUACACACUUGAAUAUAGCUGUGGUUAAAUCAAAAACUUUGUUUCAGAGGACAGGUGUGUGUAAGACAUCUUUCUUUGAAUUGCUUAAUUGUGCUUCAUAGUAUAUGAUUUGUACAGCAAAAGGUUUUUAUUACAAAAUCUCUAACACACGAAACAGCAAUACAGUUUUAUGAGGGAAAAAUACAAAAUUGCAGAUGCUUAUAAUAAAAUAAGUGACUUCAUAACUUCCACUUGACAGUAGAAUUAGAACAGAUCCAAUAUAAUACAAUGCAAACAUAAGAUGUGCAUGUCCAUGCAAAUGAACAUUUAAAAACAAAUUGAAAGAGAAAUAAUAAGAAAGGUGGACUCAUAACUUAAGAGCAGCGUUUGAACAAAUUUAAUAUUAUCACAAUGAACUUAAUAGGUACUGUGUAUAUUUUAUGCAGAUAAGAAUACAAAAGACAGAAAUGAGAUGGGUGAACUUAUAACUACACCAGUGUUAUUGGAACAAAUUUAUUAUAGCAAUAUGAUAAAAACCUACUGUGGGAUAUUCAUGCAGAGAAACAAGAAAGGACUAGUGAAAUCUAAUUUAUCAUUCUCAGUGAUUACUUUAAAACGUAAAAAAAACAAUACAAUACAGUGCAAUUGUAUAGAGAUUAAUAAAUUUCCCGUUCUAUGUAGAUUACCAAAACAGUUAAUCAACAAAUUCUACUGUAAGAAGCUCCACAUCACUCUGAUUUUCAGAUUCUGUUGUUUCUAACAAACAAAUCUUUUGCUCAUCCUUGCAUACUAUUUUUCUUUCAUCUUCUUCUUCACUACAUUCAAGCAGAUUCUCAUCCUCCAAGGAAAUAUCGUCUGCAGAUUCUGAUCUAAAGCUUAUAAUUGAUUCAUCAUCAGAAUCUGCGAGUGAUAUAAUUAUCGGUGGUAUAUCUUGCACGCCUUCAUUCCCCAUCAAUCGCACCCAGUCUUCUUUCAUUAUUUGUUCACAAUGUUUAACACUAUUUAGCCACAUUUCGGGAGUAUAUUUAGACAGUGCUUUUUUCCAUAAAUUAGCAACUUUUAAUUUUCCUGAAGGCUGUUCAAGAAUAUGCUUGUUGUAAUAUUGUUUACAAAAACCCCAUACCAUUUCAAUGGGGUUGUACUGACAAUGGUAUGGGGGAAGUCGUAAUACUUGUAUGCCAUUUUUGGAUAGCAACUCGUCAAUUAAGUACUUUUUUCGGGAAAGAAUAUUAGGUUUUAUUAUUUCAUACAAUUGCUUUUUCGUUAAAUUACUAUCAAAGGGAAUUUCGUUUUGAUGCAACCAAAGUUGUAAUUUUGACUUUUGCCAAGAAAAAUUGGGGAGCUGUUCAGCAUGGACUGAAUGAUACGGCGCGUUAUCCAUAAUAACAACCACUUUGCCGCUCAUCUGUUUGACAUUUGGAAUUAGUUGUUGCUCAGUCCAUUGCUUAAACAGGUCCCCAGUCAUCGUCUUGUGAUAAUCUCUGCUAUCUACUUUGCUAUCCAAAAAUAAAUCGCAUCCUUCGAGAAAACCAAAAUUUGCCCCCGGCGUGAAGUAUUGUGAAUCGCUUUCCUUCAUUCAUGCAAACUUUCUCUGGCAUACCCCUUCUAUCACCUUCAAACACCCACCUUCUUACAGCAGAACCAUGUUCAUAGAUCCACGUUUCAUCGAGAAAAACGAACGUUACAUUCUGAUCUACCAGUUGCAAAUAUUGCCUUAAAAAUUUAAUUUUUUGGGAUUGAAGUCUAGGUCCCUCAAUUAAAAUUUUUCGGUUAUUCACUUUCUUGUACCUGUACCCCAUUGAUUUUAAAAUGCGUUUCAGUGUUGUUAAACUCGCUGUGUAUUCUAAUUCAGUUCUUGCAAAUUGAAAUAAAUCCCUUGCGGUGAAAUAUUCAUUCUUUUUAUUUCUUUGGUAGAUAUGUAGGCUCAAUUCUUCUUUAAAUAGGAAAUCAGUGUGAAAUCGACAUCUUGGUUUUCUGCCCGUUUGGGGAUCAAGAAUAGGAACGCCGGCAUUAUUUUGGGAAAUUAUGGUUCGGAUCUGACUUCUUGAGCACUAUAAAGGAUAAGGAAAUAAUGAGAAAUUAACGGUUGUGAUUGGCGGGUACAUAGGACAGAAUAUCUGAAAGCCGCUGCUUAUUCAAAAGGAGUACUGUACCGAAAAUAUGGUUGCGACUUUCUCUUCCAAUUGUCGAAUUGACAAAGUGGGACCGAGAUCGCCAAUUUCUCGGUAACAUUUUACCACAGCAGUCUUCAUUUUUUGCGACAGCAAAGUUCUUUUAUGUCGGGAAGGCAUAAUAUAGCUCUAAAAAAGCACGACUCGAACUUUUCGAAAAUUAUUGUUGCGCCUGUCAACUAGCUGUUAACGCGAAGCGUCAUGCGCGCUGUCGUUACAAACCGCAUUGAUCAUAAAAUACUAAACGGCAGUGCUGCCAACUUUACUUUUUAUCCGAUGGUUUUAUAGUAACGGUCCCGACUGUACUCCCAUUUGACGUCUAGAAGUAUUAUGGUGGAAGGUUUGUAUUUUUGUUAAUUUUUUGUUUAUAACAAAAUUGUUUUUUUAUUUUAUUGUUAAUUUUUGAAUUGUAUAUAUAGUCUUUUAAUGUUUAAUAUACUUCGUUUGUAAAA